rnacentral:lncRNA from 1 species
AUGAGAUGUGGUAAAAUGAAACAAAAAUGGAGAACACGGAUCAAACCCGGGCAUUUCCCAGUGACGAUCAGGUCCAGCUCAGUGAGUCAGACAAAAGGGAAGGCACUGCCAAGCGCUCAAAGCGUGCACAUCAAAUUGAAGACCUUUCUGGGUCUCCUGAAUCUUCUCCCACCAGUCCAUGUGGAUAGCGUAUGUGCUGAGAGCAGACUCUUUGAAAGUUUCAUGGCUGAGUACUGGGCAUCAAAGGCUUCCCUCUGCACAGCAGAAUUAACCCAA